rnacentral:sRNA from 1 species
CGUCGUCGUCGUCGUCGUUGUCGUCAUCGGGGGCACCUCUCUAUGGUAGUAGUUGGUGUCAGGCGGUAGAGAAACAAAAAGACAAGUCUGGUAGCCGACAUGCCCUGUCACAUUAUUCCCCAAAGCUGUCAAAAACAGAAGAAACAACAGAAAAUGUCACACCUCUGGGUGGUACGGGUGACACCUUUUGACACUUGUCCAAAGUGCAUCGAUGGCAAACACAGGAAAUGUGCUACUUCUGGCAAUGGAUUCUCCUUAAACAUUUCGGAGCAACGCAGAAUCCAGAGCUAUUUCCGUUCCCUCGCAAACAAAUGUUUUGAUCGGUCUGACUAAAAACUAGAAAUAUUAGCUGGCAUUUUCAAAACGGAUGUACUCGCAUAUGCGAAUAAGCUCCAGGCCAGUUGCACCCGACACCUUGUGGGACAGUCGUGGCCAUUGCACAUCGGGGGACCGUCAGUGUUCAACACGGACAAACAAGUGGGCAAGUGGUAGACAAAAUUCUCAUUAACUAAAUAAACUUAUGACAGAUGGAAUAUACAAAUGACGGGCAUUAAUCGCAUACACACGCAAAACAAGUUUCCCAGAUCUGUCUGCCUGGGCGAAUCAUUUAGCAAAUUAAAUUUGCAUUUCACAGUGUUUUUCUACGAGUGCAAAAAGAAGCGCUAGAAUAAGCAGUGUGCGGAAUCCCCUACAUAUUUACACAAGGGUCAUUCAGGCGGUGGAAUUUACGGGAAAAUUAAACAUUUUUGAAAGUUAAAAAGGUUAAUGGAUUUCCUAGGAAUUUGAUUCGUUAUUUUGCCAAAAAUCGCCACCUAACACAUGUCUUGAGGCGCCCCCUAGAGCCCCCUAAUGGCUCCUCGCUGCCAGGGAGGAACGCAUUCCUAGAUGUGCGAGUGUCGGAGGUGUGCGAACCGCUUCGAAAUGCUUUUAUAAUGAGCUAAUAAUCAAUCCCCGAGAGCACCUGUUGCCAGCACGCCAGCGACGACGAGAGCAAACUGCCAAGUAAUUAAGAGAUUUCCUUGGAGCCCAGUCUCUGAGCGGUUCGAUUGGAUUAGAUUGGCCCAGAUGCACUCAGUUCCAGUAUCAGAUGUGGCUUUGCUUUCUUAUACCCUCGCUAGGGAGGGUAUUGUUAUUUCGAGGGGAUCUUAGCAACGCCUUUGAUUUUGGUGCACCCAAUCUGUAGGACAGAGCAGCCAAGAUCGGAUCUUCUUUGAUUGAGAAUAUCGAUAAUUAAAAGUAAACUGCCAUAGGAUCGAUGGGUGUGCAAGGGUAUCAAUAGCUUCGGAUCCCGAUGCAGGUCUUCGUUUCUCGAUUUGUUUUUGUGCCAUUUUAAUUGCUAAUCAAAUCGAUUUAUAAUUCUGUGUUGUCCAAGUAAUUUAUUAACUAUUACAAUUUGCUACUCUCAUCGCAUACCCCAUAGCCAGCACCUGCUCCCCCAUUCUCUACGUCUGUCGCUCUCUCAUUCUACCUCCCUGUUGUCUGGUAGAAGGGUGGCGGGUGGCGAGUGGCGCCAACUAUCGUCGACGGCGAGGCGGAAAAUCAUUUCGAAACGAAUUCGCGACAAAGGGAAGCGUGUGCGGUUUUCCCUUUUACAUUUUUACCCAUUUGAUUUUAUAAUUGAUUGAUGGCAUUGAUUGACUAUGAGUGGGGAAAAAUAGCUUACAUACAUUUGUGGCAGCAUUAAGUAGAUCAGAUCUUGGGCAGAUCUCGACCACUUCAGGGAACAGGAAGGAGACAAAUCUCUUGCCUGGAAAUGGUCGAUUAUAUCCGACUCUUGUGCUCCCUCCUGCCAGAUGGCGGGCCUAUAUAAAAAAUGAUCCAACAAACGUGUCGCAGACAGCGGGAAUUUGUUUGCUGUCGAAAAUAUUACAAUUUUCAUUUGUAAGUUUUUCGCACGCACAAACAAAAUCCCAAAAAUAUAAUAAACAUGAAAAUAAAUUGGCUCGGCAUCGCCGCCGAAACAUGGACACUACCGAUGCACAGAUGCACACACACACAGAGAAAGAUACACAGAUACAGAUACAGAUCUGUGAGGGCCCACAGUCAUGCUGGCAGAUACUUUUUAGCCACUUUGACUAAAGCAAUAACAUUAGCACUUGGCUGGCGCUGUUUUUGCCACAAAACUAUUUCUGGCACCUUACAAAAGAACAAGAAGCAAGAAAAAACA